rnacentral:miRNA from 7 species
UGCCAAAGGAGAUUUGCCCAG